rnacentral:rRNA from 1 species
UACGUAGGGCGCAAGCGUUAUCCGGAAUUAUUGGGGCGUAAAGAGCUCGUAGGCGGUUUGUCGCGUCUGCCGUGAAAGUCCGGGGGCUCAACUCCGGAUCUGCGGUGGGUACGGGCAGACUAGAGUGAUGUAGGGGGAGACUGGAAUUCCUGGUGUAGCGGUGAAAUGCGCAGAUAUCAGGAGGAACACCGAUGGCGAAGGCAGGUCUCUGGGCCACUACUGACGCUGAGAAGCGAAAGCAUGGGGAGCGAACAGG